AUCACAAACAAGGCACACUGGAAUUGUAUCCUUUUUACCCAAUAUAAAACGUCAGUAUGAUGUUUGUUGACAUUAACAACUCUUGAUUGUAUUCAUAUUUUGGUAAAUUAACAUGAAAGUUAGAGGUAAAGCCUCGACAGUUCCGCAGUGCUCUGGACGUCCCGUUCCGAUCAACUCGCGAAGGGUCCAUCGCGCUCCAGUCCCUCUCCACAGACCGCGAGCCCCGGAAAGGAGGCAUCAGCAAGGAGCUCACGGUUUCCGGUAGCACGCUGUCUGUGAGGUGGAGGGCAGAUGAGGCCCGUAUCAAGUGUCUCUCUGUAGGGUCGUUUAUGGACCACCUCUUCCUGGUGAUGGAAACCAUGGAGUUGUUCGGACCACCUGUCCCUCAGUGACCACUCACACACUCAGCAGUCUCUGUUCUACAAUGACCUGCAGAGAACCAAGAGGAGCAGUGUUAUGCUGAACAGAGAGGUCUCUGGCCAACAGACCCAGCAGAAGCAUGCUGUGCACCUCGGUACAGAGCGACAUGUCCCACUUUCAAUCCUCUGCUAUUCAAAUUGAAGGAACUGGAUUCUCUAACACCAGUGCAACAUUUCUAUAGUUGUUGUGUUAGAAUGUGACUUAGAGCAGUGGGCCCGCAGGCCUAAGACAAAAAAAGACAACUGACACAUUCCCAUAAAGUAAACAUUUAUGUUUUACAGUGAAGAGAUAUGCAACAAAAGAUGACAGUUGAAGUAGGAGUUGUGUGAAAAUGUUCACGUAGAUAGAUGACUAAGGAUUUUUGCUCAUUGGUUGUUGGCAUGAAUGAGACAAAUCAUUUCUGUUACUAGAACACACAGCAACGCUAGUGGAUGGUGUAGAAUAGGAAGGCAAAUUUAAGACAGUGGAAUGGAAGAGAGGUGAUCAGUAGGACCAAAGAGGGGCACAGCCCAGUUAGGGCAGAGGAUAUAGGUCCAGUCCCAAACCCUCUUUCCCUAGACACUUCUAGAUAGCCUCCUGGUAGACCUGAGAAGUAGUGUAAGCAAUAUGACCAACUACUAUUUCACUAGCACCACACUGCUUACACAAAUCAGAUCAUUUUUGAUGUAUUAGGGGCCUUGCGGGGGCUAGGGUUUAAACUUGAGAUAAGCCCAUAGUGACUUGAGAUAAGCCCAUAGUGACUGCUCAUCUCAUGUCCUCAUUCCAUAAAA